rnacentral:rRNA from 1 species
CAUAGGUUAAUGAGGCGAACCGGGGGAACUGAAACAUCUAAGUACCCCGAGGAAAAGAAAUCAACCGAGAUUCCCCCAGUAGCGGCGAGCGAACGGGGAGCAGCCCAGAGCCUGAAUCAGUGUGUGUGUUAGUGGAAGCGUCUGGAAAGGCGCGCGAUACAGGGUGACAGCCCCGUACACAAAAAUGCACAUGCUGUGAGCUCGAUGAGUAGGGCGGGACACGUGGUAUCCUGUCUGAAUAUGGGGGGACCAUCCUCCAAGGCUAAAUACUCCUGACUGACCGAUAGUGAACCAGUACCGUGAGGGAAAGGCGAAAAGAACCCCGGCGAGGGGAGUGAAAAAGAACCUGAAACCGUGUACGUACAAGCAGUGGGAGCACGCUUAGGCGUGUGACUGCGUACCUUUUGUAUAAUGGGUCAGCGACUUAUAUUCUGUAGCAAGGUUAACCGAAUAGGGGAGCCGAAGGGAAACCGAGUCUUAACUGGGCGUUAAGUUGCAGGGUAUAGACCCGAAACCCGGUGAUCUAGCCAUGGGCAGGUUGAAGGUUGGGUAACACUAACUGGAGGACCGAACCGACUAAUGUUGAAAAAUUAGCGGAUGACUUGUGGCUGGGGGUGAAAGGCCAAUCAAACCGGGAGAUAGCUGGUUCUCCCCGAAAGCUAUUUAGGUAGCGCCUCGUGAAUUCAUCUCCGGGGGUAGAGCACUGUUUCGGCAAGGGGGUCAUCCCGACUUACCAACCCGAUGCAAACUACGAAUACCGGAGAAUGUUAUCA